rnacentral:lncRNA from 1 species
ACUGCCUUGUUGUAGCCAUCAGCACAAACACAUCAUUACCUAUGGACUUAGUCACGUUCAGCUAUCCCUCCAUCGGCAACUAUCCUCAUCGGCAACCCAUUCUGUAGAUCAAGUACUGCCGUCUUGUCCUGCUGACCUACACUCUACCGAUUAUGGACACGCGCCCAAAAACGGUGUCAACAGGGGCCAAGUCUGGAAAAGAUUUUAGAUAAGUCAAAAUAUGCUUGGAAAACAAUUGGGAAAAAGAAAUUCAAAAAAAAAGGGAAAGGUGGCAGGUGCUGCUGGGCCGACCCGCCUCCCUUUCGGCCCGCUCAGCCGCGCGAUGUUGAUAUUUGGUAACGCCAUUAGAAAAUGAUCCGCAAGCGCAC